GUGCCAGCCGCCGCGGUAAUACGUAGGGGGCAAGCGUUGUCCGGAUUUAUUGGGCGUAAAGAGCGUGUAGGCGGCCAUACAGGUCCGUUGUGAAAACUGGAGGCUUAACCUCCAGACGUCGAUGGAAACCGUAUGGCUAGAGUCCGGAAGAGGAGAGUGGAAUUCCUGGUGUAGCGGUGAAAUGCGCAGAUAUCAGGAAGAACACCCGUGGCGAAGGCGGCUCUCUGGGACGGUACUGACGCUGAGACGCGAAAGCGUGGGGAGCGAACAGGAUUAGAAACCCCUGUAGUCC
rnacentral:rRNA from 1 species